CAAACAUUUGUGAAAGAAUGGGCCGCUCUCAGGAGCUCAGUGAAUUCCAGCGUGGUACUGUGAUAGGAUGCCACCUGUGCAACAAGUCCAGUCGUGAAAUUUCCUCGCUACUAAAUAUUCCACAGUCAACUGUCAGUGGUAUUAUAACAAAGUGGAAGCGAUUGGGAAUGACAGCAACUCAGCCACGAAGUGGUAGGCCACGUAAAAUGACAGAGCGGGGUCAGCGGAUGCUGAGGCGCAUAGUGCGCAGAGGUCGCCAACUUUCUGCAGAGUCAAUCGCUACAGACCUCUAAAGUUCAUGUGGCCUUCAGAUUAGCUCAAGAACAGUGCGUAGAGAGCUUCAUGGAAUGGGUUUCCAUGGCCGAGCAGCUGCAUCCAAGCCAUACAUCACCAAGUGCAAUGCAAAGCGUCGGAUGCAGUGGUGUAAAGCACGCCGCCACUGGACUCUAGAGCAGUGGAGAAGCGUUCUCUGGAGUGACGAAUCACACUUCUCCAUCUGGCAAUCUGAUGGAUGAGUCUGGGUUUGGUGGUUGCCAGGAGAACGGUACUUGUCUGACUGCAUUGUGCCAACUGUGAAGUUUGGUGGAGGGGGAUUAUGGUGUGGGGUUGUUUUUCAGGAGCUGGGCUUGGCCCCUUAGUUCCAGUGAAAGGAACUCUGAAUGCUUCAGCAUACCAAGAGAUUUUGGACAAUUCCAUGCUCUCAACUUUGUGGGAACAGUUUGGGGAUGGCCCCUUCCUGUUCCAACAUGACUGCGCACCAGUGCACAAAGCAAGGUCCAUAAAGACAUGGAUGAGCGAGUUUGGUGUGGAAGAACUUGACUGGCCUGCACAGAGUCCUGACCUCAACCCGAUAGAGCACCUUUGGGAUGAAUUAGAGCGAAGACUGCGAGCCAGGCCUUCUCGUCCAACAUCAGUGUCUGACCUCACAAAUGCGCUUCUGGAAGAAUGGUCAAAAAUUCCCAUAAACACACUCCUAAACCUUGUGGAAAGCCUUCCCAGAAGAGUUGAAGCUGUUAUAGCUGCAAAGGGUGGGGCGACGUCAUAUUAAACCCUAUGGAUUAAGAAUGGGAUGUCGCUUAAGGUCAUAUGCGUCUAAAGGCAGAUGAGCGAAUACUUUUGGCAAUAUAGUAUAACAAAUGUUUCGGAACCGAAACGUUUGUCAGUAACCUGACCAGGUGGUCAAGACAAAGGUGUACCAUUUUUUACAAGAAAAAGGGAAAGACGGUAAGAUAAUGUUAAAACGAACACUAGAUUUUCACACAGAUGUUCAGACAUAUGACAGAAUUUCUAAUCAAAUUAUCAGACCGUAAAUAAGAUCUUUUGCCAGAUUUGUUCAAAAUGCAUGCUUUUGUAAUCAUACCAGACUCUCCAUUUUGUUUACUGGACUGAGAUCUAUUACAUAAAAUUGGUGCACAAAUAGUUUUUGACAAUGCUUCUCUGCAACUUAUGUUUCCUGUUGUGUAUUCAGUCACUGUGCCUACAGGAGGUGUGGGGGAGAAUGUGAGCAGACAGCAACUGCUGGAGGCUGAUGAAGCAAUAAUUAACCCCAGACUAUGGGCUCAGCACAAAGAUGAACCUGGCCUUAUAGAUGUGAAACCAUAUACAGCUAAAUUAGCUUUAACCACUCCAGUAUACUAUAAGCAAUAUCCACUAUCGAUUGAAAAGGAAGAAGGUAUUAGGACAAUCAUUGAGCAAUUGAUUGAACAAGUGUACCUGUUUCACCUGUCACCCAGCCAUUGUUCGCAUUCACCUACGGUGGCCAACAACAUACACGGAGAAGGUUACAGAGAUUCGCCGGCUGUCUUCUCAGCUGUUGUGCACUGUACAUUACAGGAUGUGAAACUGCCACCUGACACAUGCCUGUUGCAGUAUGCCAACAACAUCAUGGUUACUGCUGAAACAUCAGAGGAUUGCAGAAAAGCAUCAAUUAUUAAUUGAAGCUACAGUGGGUCAAACAAAAGGUUGAAUACCUUGGACAUGUGCUAACAAAGGGGACUGUACGCAUGUCUGCAAUUCGAAUCAAGACAAUUUCGCAACACUGAACAAUGAUGAUGCAAUCCAAUGGACUACGGAAAUGGACUUGGCAUUUAAACAUCUGAAGUAAUGCCUUGGGAAACCACCAGCACUGGGUCUUACAGACUACAGCAAGCCUUUCCAUCUGUACGUGCACGAGGCUGGGGGGACUGCCGCUGCAAUCCUUGCCCAGGAACACGGGGGUUCUUACUGCCCGGUGGCGUAUUUAUCUAAAACUCUGGAUUUGGUUGCAAAGGGCUUCUCUGGUUGUCUGGGAGCAGUUGCUGUACCAGCGAUGAUGGUACAGGAUGCAGAACAAGUUGUGCUGAUGGUACAGGAUGCAGAACAAGUUGUGCUUUCUCAUCCUCUGACUGUGCACACAACUCACCAGAAAAGCCCACUCACCCAUUUGUUCCAAACCAGCAGGUCCUAGUGAAGUGGCUGAAAACAACGAAGCUCGGUGAGCACAAUUAUCUGGGUCCAACAACAGUUCUGGUGGUAACCAGGAUGGGGGUUCUGACAGAUCUGCAACCACAGUGGAUACACGCAAGCCGUGUAAAGCCUGCACCUGGGGAGAGCCUGACUAUUUCGAAAGCGAACGGUGAAAGUACUGGAGGAGCUGAACACGCAGCGCCAGUGCCUAAAUGGGAACUUGAGAAUUAGAUGGGAUGAAGACAUGGAUAGAUGGAUAGAUGAGACAUGGAUAGAUGAUGGUGAUGCACCACAUACCUAUGCUACCAAUUUGUGGUGGAAACUAGCUAACUUUAUGGCCAAAAACAUGGGAAAGAAAGGUAGUCGUUAUGUAUGCAUAUGCUGUACAGUGCAUCUACACCAGCGGUAAAGGUACACUGCUCUGCCGGAAUUGUGGACAAGUAGAUGUGCCAUGGUACAAUUAAGUGACCACACCAUGGUGGUCUGAGCUAUUGAGAAAACAACAAAUAGAAGUAGUCUAAGUCAUCCCAGUACCACACCGAGAGAACACAGAUUAUGGACAGGAACAGAGAAAUUCUUUGGAGCACUGUUCCCACAAGUGGGUGUUACAGUAAUACAGAAAGAAGUUAAAAUGACUAAAUAUGAAUUGAUAUCAUUCAUAAAUUCGACAAAAACAAUGAUUGACGCAGUACGCCAAGAACUAAAAGGCCUAAGAUUAACAGUGCUACAAAAUAGACUGGUCCUUGACCAGUUAACAGCUGCCAGUGGAGGAGCAUGUGUUAUCAUAGGAACGAGUUGCUGUACUUUCAUUACAGAAAACGAUGAAGAUGGACAUUCCAUGGAAAUGGGCCUGAAAAACAUGACGAAGAUAGCAGCGGACUUGACAGUGAGAGAAACUGUAGAUGAUGUCAACGACUUAUUGACACGGUUAAAUGGUUGAAAAAAAUGUUUUUUGAAUGCUUUAAUACCUAAAGGAGUAAUUUUACUUGUUAUAGCAUUACUGAUUUGUUAUGUGAUUCCAUGUGCUAAAGCAUUGGUCAAUAGGACCAUUGAUAAUGCUUUGAAUGCUAAUUACGCUCUGAUAAACCUUGAAGAUGCUGAUAGAGAUGGUUAUGGGACACAUUGGGAGGAAUAUGAUGGUAAUGAGUAAAAGACAGAAUGUAAGGUAAACGAGAUUUGAUUUUUGAAUAGCCAUCUGAGGAACUUGUCUCUUCAAGACAAAAGUGGGCAAUGUGAGAAAUAGGCCUCAGAUGGAACAAUGUGACCUUUUUAUGCUUAUGCUUGCUAUCUGCUUUGUAUGUUUUCGGCACUGUCUUGAGCACAAAAUGUACUUGAUAAGAAUGUACUUCUGUAAACGAGAGGAAACAACCCCAUAUAUGGAGGAUUGGGGGGUGGGGGGUUCAAGGUAAAGGGUUAACCAGCCUUGUGUGACAAGAACCAUAUAACCCCAUGCUUUCUUUUAAUAAAUUAAAG